rnacentral:rRNA from 1 species
UACGUAGGUGGCAAGCGUUAUCCGGAAUUAUUGGGCGUAAAGAGCGCGCAGGUGGUUAAUUAAGUCUGAUGUGAAAGCCCACGGCUUAACCGUGGAGGGUCAUUGGAAACUGGUUGACUUGAGUGCAGAAGAGGGAAGUGGAAUUCCAUGUGUAGCGGCGAAAUGCGUAGAGAUAUGGAGGAACACCAGUGGCGAAGGCGGCUUCCUGGUCUGUAACUGACACUGAGGCGCGAAAGCGUGGGGAGCAAACAGG